rnacentral:sRNA from 2 species
GUUUGCGCUUGUCGGGGAAGGGUGAGAACCUUCGAUUAAGGUUCGACUCGAGCGAAAGCGAGAGAACGUUGCCAACGGCAACGGCCCGUAGGGUGAGGAGCGAAGCGACGAAUAAUCCUUCCCCUACCACCA